GAAUUGACGGGGGCCCGCACAAGCGGUGGAGUAUGUGGUUUAAUUCGAUGCAACGCGCAGAACCUUACCUGGCCUUGACAUGUCCGGAAUCCUGCAGAGAUGCGGGAGUGCCUUCGGGAAUCGGAACACAGGUGCUGCAUGGCUGUCGUCAGCUCGUGUCGUGAGAUGUUGGGUUAAGUCCCGCAACGAGCGCAACCCUUGUCCUUAGUUGCCAGC
rnacentral:rRNA from 1 species